UGGGGAAUAUUGGGCAAUGGACGCAAGUCUGACCCAGCAACGCCGCGUGAAGGAAGAAGGCUUUCGGGUUGUAAACUUCUUUUAAGGGGGAAGAGCAGAAGACGGUACCCCUUGAAUAAGCCACGGCUAACUACGUG
rnacentral:rRNA from 1 species